ensembl:snRNA LOC120094471 U1 spliceosomal RNA
AUCCUUACCUGGGAGGGGAGACACCCUGAGCACAUAGGUAGUUUUCACAACCUACAGCCUAUCCUUUGCACUUUGGCUGUGCCAAAGCCAUCAGCAUCCCAUGUGUGGGAAACUCAGCCUCAAAUUUUGUGGUAGUGAAGAACUGACAGCGCUCAUGCUUCCU